rnacentral:rRNA from 1 species
GAUGAACGCUAGCGGCAGGCCUAAUACAUGCAAGUCGAGGGGUAGAGGCUUUCGGGCCUUGAGACCGGCGAACGGGUGCGUAACGCGUAUGCAAUCUGCCCUGUACUGAGGGCUAGCCCAGAGAAAUUUGGAUUAACACCUAAUAGUAUUUUAGUGUGGCAUCAUAUUAUUAUUCAAGGCUACGGUACAAGAUGGGCAUGCGUCCCAUUAGCUAGUUGGUAGGGUAACGGCAUACCAAGGCUACGAUGGGUAGGUGUCCUGAGAGGGCGAUCGCCCACGCUGGUACUGAGACACGGACCAGACUCCUACGGGAGGCAGCAGUAAGGAAUAUUGGUCAAUGGUCGCAAGACUGAACCAGCCAUGCCGCGUGCAGGAUGAAGCAUCUAUGGUGUGUAAACUUCUUUUGUACGGGAAGAAACACCGCUACGUGUAGCGGCUUGACGGUACCGUAAGAAUAAGGAUCGGCUAACUCCGUGCCAGCCGCCGCCGUAAUAC